UACGGGGGGGCAAGCGUUGUUCGGAAUUACUGGGCGUAAAGGGCUCGUAGGCGGCCAACUAAGUCGGAUGUGAAAUCCCCAGGCUUAACCUGGGAACUGCAUCCGAUACUGGAUGGCUUGAAUUCGGGAGAGGGAUGCAGAAUUCCAGGUGUAGCGGUGAAAUGCGUAGAUAUCUGGAGGAAUACCGGUGGCGAAGGCGGCGUUCUGGACUGUUCUGACACUGUAAACGAAGCCAAGGGGAGCGAA
rnacentral:rRNA from 1 species